ACCGUAGGAGGCAAGCGUUAUCCGGAGUGACUGGGCGUAAAGAGCGUGUAGGCGGCUCUACUAGUGAGUUGUGGCAGCGGUCGGCUCAACCGGGGGAGGCAAAUUCAGACUGUAGGACCGGAGGCCGGCAGAGGAGUAUGGAAUUCCGGGUGUAGCGGUGAAAUGUGUAGAGAUCCGGAGGAACACCAGAGGUGCAGACGACGCUCUGGGCCUUACCUGACGCUGAGACGCGAAAGCGUGGGGAGCCAACGGG
rnacentral:rRNA from 1 species